rnacentral:rRNA from 1 species
GAUCAUGGCUCAGAUUGAACGCUGGCGGCAUGCUUUACACAUGCAAGUCGAACGGUAACAGGCCGCAAGGUGCUGACGAGUGGCGAACGGGUGAGUAAUGCAUCGGAACGUGCCCAGUCGUGGGGGAUAACGCAGCGAAAGCUGCGCUAAUACCGCAUACGAUCUAUGGAUGAAAGCGGGGGACCGUAAGGCCUCGCGCGAUUGGAGCGGCCGAUGUCAGAUUAGGUAGUUGGUGGGGUAAAGGCUCACCAAGCCAACGAUCUGUAGCUGGUCUGAGAGGACGACCAGCCACACUGGGACUGAGACACGGCCCAGACUCCUACGGGAGGCAGCAGUGGGGAAUUUUGGACAAUGGGCGCAAGCCUGAUCCAGCAAUGCCGCGUGCAGGAAGAAGGCCUUCGGGUUGUAAACUGCUUUUGUACGGAACGAAAAGGCUCUGGUUAAUACCUGGGGCACAUGACGGUACCGUAAGAAUAAGCACCGGCUAACUACGUG